GGGAUGAUAUUGCUGAUUUAGUAG
rnacentral:piRNA from 1 species